rnacentral:rRNA from 1 species
AUGUACGUUAGAAACCUUGCACGCCGCCUCCACAAGAAUAAGACUCCUUCACUCCUUUUCAAACUGGACAUCAGAAAAGCUUUUGACUCGGUCCGGUGGGAAUAUGUCCUUGAUAUUCUUCAGCGGCGCGGCUUCCCUAGCAGAUUUCAUGACUGGAUUGCUGCCCUUCUUAGCACCUCAUCAUCACGGGUGCUCCUCAAUGGGGUUCCCCUUCUCCGAUUAGCCACGGUAAGGGCCUUCGGCAAGGAGACUCGAUGUCACCGCUUCUUUUUGUUAUUGCGAUUGACCCGCUACAGCAACUGCUCAACUCAGCCACGCGGAUUCGUCUUCUGCACAAGAUUAGAGGGCGUGGUACCAUUAUUCGGACAUCACUCUAUGCUGACGACGCGGCUGUCUUUGUGGCGCCAAUUUGGGAGGAUAUUAGAAACCUGA